GGGGAUAUAGCUCAGUUGGUAGAGUGCUUGCCUUGCAUGCACAAGGCCCUGGGUUCAAACCCCCCCACCCCCC
rnacentral:tRNA from 1 species